ACUGCCUUGAUCCACUUGGCUACAUCCGCCCCUUAUCUAGCUAAAGCAUUUUCUCCUUUUUAUUUUUCCAUUCAUCAUUAUUGUAUUUAUUCUUACCUUCAUACUUAAAUCUAGAUAUUGGACAUAGAAUAUAGAAUGCCAAUUUUAAAAAUGUAAAAAAGGGAGCAAUCCAAAAUAUCUUGUUCUAGCAAGAGGUUUUGGAUUGCUCCUUCAACAAUUCAUAUACACUAAGACCUAAGUC
rnacentral:misc_RNA from 1 species